UAGGGAAUCUUCGGCAAUGGACGAAAGUCUGACCGAGCAACGCCGCGUGAGUGAAGAAGGUUUUCGGAUCGUAAAACUCUGUUGUUAGAGAAGAACAAGGAUGAGAGUAGAAUGUUCAUCCCUUGACGGUAUCUAACCAGAAAGCCACGGCUAACUACGUGCCAGCAGCCGCGGUAAUACGUAGGUGGCAAGCGUUGUCCGGAUUUAUUGGGCGUAAAGCGAGCGCAGGCGGUUUCUUAAGUCUGAUGUGAAAGCCCCCGGCUCAACCGGGGAGGGUCAUUGGAAACUGGGAAACUUGAGUGCAGAAGAGGAGGGUGGAAUUCCAUGUGUAGCCGUGAAAUGCGUAGAUAUAUGGAGGAACACCAGUGGCGAAGGCGGCACUCUGGUCUGUAACUGACGCUGAGGCUCGAAAGCGUGGGGAGCAAACAGG
rnacentral:rRNA from 1 species